CUACGGGUGGCUCCAGUGGGGAAUUUUGCGCAAUGGGGGAAACCCUGACGCAGCAAUACCGCGUGAGUGAAGAAGGCCUUUGGGUCGUAAAGCUCUUUUCUUGGGGAAGAUAGUGACGGUACCCAAGGAAUAAGCACCGGCUAACUCCGUGCCAGCAGCCGCGGUAAUACGGAGGGUGCAAGCGUUGUUCGGAUUUACUGGGCGUAAAGGGCACGUAGGCGGCACAGCAAGUUAAGGGUGAAAUCCCGGGGCUCAACUCCGGAACUGCUCUUAAAACGGCUGAGCUAGAGAUAGUCAGAGGCGGGUGGAAUUCCAGGUGUAGAGGUGAAAUUCGUAGAUAUCUGGAGGAACACCGGUGACGAAGGCGGCCCGCUGGGGCUAUUCUGACGCUAAGGUGCGAAAGCGUGGGGAGCAAACGGGAUUAGAUACCCUGGUAGUC
rnacentral:rRNA from 1 species